rnacentral:rRNA from 1 species
ACACAUGCAAGUCGAGCGGAAAGGCCACUUCGGUGGUACUCGAGCGGCGAACGGGUGAGUAACACGUGAGUAAUCUGCCCCUGGCUUCGGGAUAGCCACCGGAAACGGUGAUUAAUACCGGAUAUGACAGACCCUCGCAUGGGGGUGUGUGGAAAGUUUUUCGGCCAGGGAUGUGCUCGCGGCCUAUCAGCUUGAUGGUGAGGUAAUGGCUCACCAUGGCUUCGACGGGUAGCCGGCCUGAGAGGGUGACCGGCCACACUGGGACUGAGACACGGCCCAGACUCCUACGGGAGGCAGCAGUGGGGAAUAUUGGACAAUGGGCGGAAGCCUGAUCCAGCAACGCCGCGUGAGGGAUGACGGCCUUCGGGUUGUAAACCUCUUUCAGUACCGACGAAGCGCAAGUGACGGUAGGUACAGAAGAAGCACCGGCCAACUACGUGCCAGCAGCCGCGGUAAUACGUAGGGUGCGAGCGUUGUCCGGAAUUAUUGGGCGUAAAGGGCUCGUAGGCGGUUUGUCGCGUCGGGAGUGAAAACGCCGUGCUUAACACGGCGCUUGCUUCCGAUACGGGCAGACUAGAGGUAUUCAGGGGAGAACGGAAUUCCUGGUGUAGCGGUGAAAUGCGCAGAUAUCAGGAGGACACCGGUGGCGAA